UAGGACCUGAAAAUGAAUAAAAGUUUAUUUUGUAUAUAUGAUAACUAAUAAAUGUUGGUAAUUUUGGUUUAUAGGUAGGAGUUGGUAUAAUAUUUCUAAAGAAAGAGAAGAGAUGAUAUAUGAUAUAUGAUAUAUGAUAUAUGAUAUAUGAUAUAUGUAUGUAGUUGUUUCACCUUCAUCAUCUCCACUCCAGCAUUGAGAGUUGAAAGCACAGGUGAAUGAAUAUUCAUUCAUAUACAACAACAGCUGGGAAGAAUAAUAUUUAUAUAUGAUGAAUUUCUAGAUUUAUUAUUUGUUUUUUUUUUUUUUUAACUUUUCGUAUUUUGUAAAGUAUUAUUAUUAAUGAUUAUUUUGUGUUAAUUCUCUCGCAUUUAAAUGUAUGUAUUUUCUCAGCCCAUAAAUUUCUGGUCUUGAUAUAGUAUGGCUUUGAGGUUAUGCAUGUUUUCUCAUUUUUCUAUAUGCUGAUUGCAUUAGCACUUUGUAAAGGUUUUGAUCUUUGGUAAUUCGAGGAACAAUUUUAGAACAGUUGUGAAAUGAACGGCAACCUCCUUGGCACCAAGUUGUAUCGAAUUUCAACAACUAUUUUUUUUAUCUGCAAAACGACCUUUUCUCAUAUAGAUUUGAUGUUUUCAUAAAUGUCAUCUACAAAAAUAACAUAUGUGUUUGAGAAAAUAUAGUUUUCUCAAACAAAUUUUACUGUUUUGGCAGAUGCGAAAAUAAAUAUUUUGUUCGAAAAACGAUAUUUUCUCUCACAAAACUAACAUUUUUGCACAUAAAAAUAAUGUCGUUUGGUAUGGAUAUCACGAAGCCAUUCGUGGUCCAGGUGGCCACGGUUGUUGUCCAUGCACACCAUCCCGGUCCUCUUGUGGUACUCAUCUGGAACCACAAUCGUGGUCUCUCAUGUUGGCCACCACAAUUCACCACAGAUUCUUUCUUCUCUCUUCCUCUCUUCUUCUCUCUUGCAGCUUAAAUCCACCACGACCACCUUCCUUCGUUGUGAGUAUACCGGAUUGAGAAUGGAAGAAAGGUUGAAGAAGAAGAUGAUGAGGUGUAUACACACCAUAAGCCUUCUCGUGGUGUGUAUACUUGAAGGCCUAACACUUUCGCAGAUGACAUCUAAGAAAAUGUCAGCUAUGUCCGAGAAACUAUGUACUUUUGCAGAUGGGUCUAACAUUUUCGUCCGAG
rnacentral:lncRNA from 1 species